rnacentral:lncRNA from 1 species
AUGCCAGUUCCUCCUCGUAUCUUCCCUUCUUUGUGUGGCAGCAUCUUCUCAGCCUCGCUUGUCACUGUCUUCCACCAUACUCAGAGCAACAGCAAAACAACUGCCAUUGUUCUCACGGGAGAAAUGUUACGAGCCAAGGAGCGGCACUGGGAAAAACAAGCCAAGGCCAGGGACAAAAAUAACCCACAGAAAAGAUGCUUGCCUGCAGCAAACAGGAUGCCACGAUCAAUGCUUCACAAGAGCAGGAUCCUGGGUGGUCUGGGCACGGUCAGGACGUCGAGAAGGAAGAAAGAAUUUGGUGGUCUGAAUGGGCUGUGGUGUUUCACUCCACUUUGCUGCUUGGCAUAGUCUGAAAGCUGCCUCAAGAAAAGUGAGGUAGAAAAAGAACGAGGAGCUUCUCCCAGCUGGCUGUUGCCCUUUCAGCUUGGGCCUCAGAGUGAGCACGUAUGGAGCAGACCUGAGUCCAAUCUGCAGCAAGGAGACAAGCCCAGCUGGACUGCAAUAUGAUGCAAAGCUGCCCAG